UUCCAGACUCCUACGGGAGGCAGCAGUGAGGAAUAUUGGUCAAUGGCCGGAAGGCUGAACCAGCCAAGCCGCGUGAGGGAGGAAGGCGCAGAGCGUCGCAGACCUCUUUUGCCGGGGGACAAGAGGCCGGACUCGUCCGGUCCUGAGGGUACCCGGAGAAAAAGCAUCGGCUAACUCCGUGCCAGCAGCCGCGGUAAUACGGAGGAUGCGAGCGUUAUCCGGAUUUAUUGGGUUUAAAGGGUGCGCAGGCGGAUUUUUAAGUCAGCGGUCAAAUCGUGGGGCUCAACCCCAUCCAGCCGUUGAAACUGGGGAUCUAGAGUGUGCGAGAGGUAUGCGGAAUGCGUGGUGUAGCGGUGAAAUGCAUAGAUAUCACGCAGAACCCCGAUUGCGAAGACAGCAUACCGGUGCACAACUGACGCUCAGGCACGAAAGCGUGGGUAUCGAACAGGAUUAGAUACCCCGGUAA
rnacentral:rRNA from 1 species